UGAUAGGGUGUUAAUUGUUGGUUAUUUUAUUGGAAGUGGAACAGAAAACUACAACAAAUGAGGGACUUUUCACUAUACAAUUGAGACUUCAAACAGUUGGGCCCCAUAUGGUGCUACAAGGAAGCCUUUUUCGGUUGAUGGCCCACAAGGAGAAGAAGAAAACGAAUUCCUUUUCUUUGUGCUGAUGGGAGUCUUUGACUAGCAAUAGGAAACUAAACAAGGAGGAAUUUCGGCAGAGCCUCAAUUCUUUGGCUUUUGGACUCCUUAGUCGGCGGGGACCACUGGAUAGCAGGAAGUCAUUUCCCUUUGGCUUUAAAAGGACGAACGUGCAGAAGUUUUCGGGACCGAUAGUUAGAGCUUAGUUUUUUUAGUUUCUUUUUCCCAUCGAAGAACAUUAGAAAGCUCCGAUUGUUUUAUUUUCUUGCACAGCUGGUUCUCCAUUAAUGGAGAACUAGCUUCUCAAUUCUAGUGAAGGGAACAACUGAAGACUUGGUUCAACAAUUACUGUGAGAUCGAAAUUAUUUUAA